CCAGUCUCCAAUAUUCUUAAAUGCCCAAAGUUCUAUAGCCAAUUUCAUGUCUAGGUGUUAGAGUUCCCUAAGGACCUCAAGGAUUCGGGGCACUACUCACACCUAGGCCUUUUCUCAAACAAUAAUUGAUUUAGGUGUAAUGUGAAAAGGCCAGCUCUGACAUACCAGAGUUUAGAGAUAUCUCAAGGAUCGCAAGUCAGUACACAUAUCGUAGGGAUAGAACCUAGUAUUCUAAGAGUGAAAUGCGAGUGCUUGACAUAACUUUGAAAAGGUUUUUGAAAAUAGUAUUGAGAUGGAUUUAGGAGUAAAAAGGUUUUCAAAAAACAAGAAAUAGUUUGAUAGUAAAGAUAGUUUGUGAAG
rnacentral:lncRNA from 1 species